UACAGAGGUCUCAAGCGUUGUUCGGAUUCAUUGGGCGUAAAGGGUGCGUAGGCGGGCAGGUAAGUCAGUGGUGAAAUCCUUGAGCUUAACUCGAGAACUGCCAUUGAUACUAUCUGUCUUGAAUAUUGUGGAGGUAAGCGGAAUAUGUCAUGUAGCGGUGAAAUGCUUAGAUAUGACAUAGAACACCUAUUGCGAAGGCAGCUUACUACGCAUAUAUUGACGCUGAGGCACGAAAGCGUGGGGAUCAAACAGG
rnacentral:rRNA from 1 species